rnacentral:rRNA from 1 species
UACGGGGGGGGUAAGCGUUGUUCGGAAUUACUGGGCGUAAAGGGCUCGUAGGCGGCCAACUAAGUCAGACGUGAAAUCCCUCGGCUUAACCGGGGAACUGCGUCUGAUACUGGAUGGCUUGAGUUCGGUAGGGGAGUGGGGAAUUCCCGGUGUAGUGGUGAAAUGCGUAGAUAUCUGGAGGAACACCGGUGGCGAAGGCGGCAUCCUGGACCAAUAUUGACGCUGAGGAGCGAAAGCCAGGGGAGCAAACGGG